CGCCGAGCCACCGACAGCGCCGCCACGCCGGGGCCGCCGCUCACCGCCACGGCCGCUCCCGCCGCCGCCGCGGCUCCGGUGCCCGUCCCGCCGCCCGCCGCCACCGCCGCUGCCAUUGUUACCCUCGCCGAGCGCCGCCACCGCGGCCCUGCGCCUCCCACCCGCCUCACGCCGCGCAUGCGGCCAGCGGCGGGCGCCCCGCCCCUUCGGGCAUGCUCGGCAACGGGCUCCCUCCCUCACCACCGCCGCCGCCUUCGCCCACCUCCCCUCCCGCCCCGCCGCGAUCGCACCGGCCCGGUACGCCCCGGUCCUCCCGGCUUAUAUGAGCAAAAUAACAGGCACCCAAGGAUUUCUUCAUUCGAAAGGAACUUCCUGAGCCAGGAUCUCUGUACAAUUUAAAAUGAAGAACAGAAAGCCACCUUCUUCCGAGUCUGCUAGCAAGAACAGUACCUGCUUCCUCGCUUGUGGGAAGUGGCGGCUGCCCAGGAAACCCAGCAGGCUCGUUCCAGACCUUCGUAUUUGGAGUGAUGACUCGAAUACAUCUCAUCAGAAGUAUCCUCCAGCUAGGAAGGGAAGUUUUGUCUGAGUACUUGGAGCAUGAAAUCUCACCUGCAAGCCAAGCCUACAGUUCUAGAAAUCCAGGUAAGCAAUAUCUGACCCAUUCAAACUGUCUGGGACGCAGCACACACACUUGGCAUCGCUACCUUGUUUUCAUCCUUUUCAUUACGUACUGAAUUGGGAACUUGUUCGUCAGACUGACUUGUCAGGAGACAGACACAGGCUGUUGUGUGCACCGUGUAACAGCUACCAGGGGCAUUCAACUGCACACAAUGGCAGGGUUUGUUCGGCCUGCAGCUAGCAGCCGUGCCCCACAGCUGCCACGCCACCACAAGCCUCCUCUCUGCUGGCCUUUCACUGCCUCCAGAUGCGACUGCACCCAGCAGAACUGAACAGCUUUUUGUACAGCGGCUCUGCUUACUGGGCUGGCAGAACUUAAUAACUGGUAAAGACCAACCCUGGAGCUACUAACGUGCCAUUUGCAGGUUCUGGGAAUGGCUACAGACAUGUGAGACAAAUUGACAAAACUGUUUUCCUACCUCGGAGUCCCCAUGAUCGAAAGGCUCCAGUUCCUUGAGCUCUACCAUCCUCCAGCUGCAAGGGGCAACACAAGCUAGAGAUCACUUCAAGGAAAAACAUGCUUGGUACUAGCGUGUAAAUCCAAACAACAUUAAUCACUGUUUUUUUAAUGAAAUACUUUCUAUUUCCAUCCAUUAGAGAUAAUUUCCGGAUGUCAUUUCAUUAAGAGGAGCAGCCCAUUCUGCCCAGCUAGUGCUGUUUCCCCCCAUCACCCACAGGAGGGAGGAUCAGUAAGGCCUGGCCUGUGGAUACCUUGGUACUACGAUCUCUUUGUACGGAGGCUUCCCCACUCGAGCAGCGGCUGCCAUCGAUGUUGGGAUCACAAUGUUGUCAAUGUCGUAGGAACAUUCCGCUUUUCUUCUUUUUGAGGCCGCCUGAAACACAGAAUGAAGAGAAAAACCCCACGCAGAAAGUUAAUGUUGGCACAAAAGUGACCUUGGAAUGCACCUUCUCCGUAAGCACAGCGGGUUCUUCCCACUGUCACUGGUGUCCAGUGGCAUUUGUCACGUCACAACCUCUGUGGUGUGGUUUGCUCCUAUAUGAAGGAGGAUAACACUAACCCACCUCAGUGGGUGGGAUUUCACUUAUAACUUUGUAUAUAUUUAGGUCAUCUAUGUAGCAAAAAGAAAUAAUUUAAACAGGCAAUGAUGAUGACGAUGUUGAUUCAAGAAGGAAGAACCUGUCAUUUCAAUAGACUAAAGGAGCUGUACUUGUUUCGCCUUGCAAAAUAUGGGCUGAAAAGGAAAAAGUAAACCAAGUAAACCCAUGGAAGCACGCCACCUUCCUGAGCCAGGGGAUACUGCUGCUGAGACACAGAGGGGAGUAUCACAGCAUUUGGGCUGGGAGUCAGAGCAUUGCCAAACAGAGGAGCAAGGCUCUGGGACAAUGUCUGGGGAACAGUGGGAUGAAAAGACCCCUGAAUAGUUUCGAGGUGCACUUUGAUCAGUUUAUAAAGAGGUCCAUAUACUGGUAAGGAUGGCAAGUCUGCGCCCCCGUCCUGCAAGGCGUCCUUUGCUCAGCGUGCUUGGAGAGCCAGGAGUUACUCAGUGCCUUCCUAGAGAAGCGGUUGGUGUGGGAUGUAUUUUUUAAUCCCGUCUCCACUUGUAGAAGAACAAGAAGAUGUUAAAGCUCAUCUCUUGACUGAUGUUCCUUCUUCAUAUGGGGAAUUCCAUAGUGGUUAAAUCUCUACUAUUUAUUUGUGGCCAAAUAAAACGGUAACAUUAUGUGUAUGUAACUAUUUGCUUACAAAAAAAAAAAAAGAAAAGGAAUCAGUAGAGUAUUGUCAGAACUAAAGUUGAAACCAGCCCAUCUGGCGGGGGCAGCAGCGCGGCAGGCACCUAGCCAGCCCCACACUGCCCCAGGAAAAACGAAGCAAGUAGCUGUUACUGUCUAACAAACACCAACAUCCAAACUCAUUUCCCAGCAGUCUGUUAGCAGUAAGAACCCAUCUGAAUUCCCAGCGAGUUUGCAGCCCUAAGGCGACCCUUGGAAAGGGAGGCAUCCCCCAGCUCCUCUCUGAGGCUACUCCUUUUCGGAUUCAUUUGCCACAGCUUCUGUUUCAACUCACCGUUGCCGAGUCGCCAGCGAAAGGGGUUUGGCUGGAAGAAAGGGCUGGAGGAGCCUCUGGGUACAAGGAUGGCAGGUGGUGCAAAGAACCGUAUUUAUGUGCCUGAGGACUGGAAACAGGAAAGCUGUGAUGGGACAUUCCUUUGAGCUGCCUUUUGCCUUCAAACAAUGAACCUGUUAAUAAAAACGAGAACAGAAAAACCAAGGCGAAGUCAGGCUGACUGGGGACUAGCUGGUGAUGUCGCUACCCCGUGAGGUCACCAAACCCGCCCCUGGGAAUGGAGCGGAACACACAUCGGCACUAGAGAGCACGUGUAAAACUGAAGCCUCAAGCGAAGCGUCAGGGCUCUGCGGCACUGAAGGCGCUAGCCCAAAGGUGUUCCUUCUGGUGGGCAUUCCCAAAAUAAAGCGGAGGGUGACAGAGGUGUUACAGCCAUCAAGAACUGCACCUCUUGGUCCCAGAUCGGCCACCUGAAAAGCUUCUUUCACUGCAGAACUGGUCAGGCUGCUCCUGGUUCGAACAAUCACUCCGAUGAGAAACCACGCUGGUUUUAAGACAAACGUACUCAUCUCCCUGAAGUCCUACAUAACCGCAGCUUGAGAUGCUUCUUCUACAUCAGUUAACUUUCUAUUCUUUCUGCCACUCGGGACUGCCUUAUUCCAUGCUGAAUACCACAAACGGAGCAAUCUUCCAGCCUAUUGUGCCCAAUUACUCCACUAUCCAAAUCGUUUCUAAAGAUCUAGCGUGGUGAGGCUCUUAGUUAAAAAUAUAUGAAAAUCAUCCUGCAUUGCUGCAUCAUCCAUUCAAACACACUCUUCACGGUAGGUGUCUACACAAACACCACACCCCUCAUACACGCUGCCCAUAAAUAAUAACAGGUUUUGUGUAGUCUUGUGGCUAAACAGUUGAAAAAAAGAAGGAGGUAUAAAGAUAAACCAGUUAAAAGCAAAGAGCUGCUGACCAGUUGAUAGAAUCCAGACUGGUGCAUUACUGAAGCAUCCUCUAGUAGGUCCCUCAUGUUUAUUCAACACUAACCACCUGCUUGUUCUACCCUCAUCACACCCAGAGCCGAUUACUGGAAGGGUGAUCUCUCUCCAGAACACUUCUCCUGGAAAACAUCGUCCAUCCCCAUUCAAAGCUAAGUAACCUCAGCUCAGGCUGAUUAAACAUCAUUAAACCAAAUUGUAGCUCAGAUCGUUAGGGCCAAACUCACCCAGCCCGGGGCUGCUGAGGUACUUUCAGCAUGGAAAUUGUUCUGGUUUUAGGGUUGGAGUUUUUUGGUUGGUUGGUUGUUGUUUGUUUUUUUAAUGCUAUCUGGUUUGCUCGGGAUCGUGUGCAUCAGCAGCCACAGAACAUAAAAAGUAUUCCGGAUGCAGUACCUGUGACCCAUAAGAAUGUCAAGGACGCGGCCAGCUUGCACUCUGCACGUUACAUUACUUUCAAAAACUGAUUUGGCAUAAACCCACGCCUUUUAGAAGAAAGCCAAUGGAACACCAAGCCUAGUCCAUUUGAAAACCAGGAUGUGUUUUAGCUGGGUCUCCCUCUUCCUGUCCUGAAGCUGGUCUGAGUCUUCUGUCACUUACCUCAAGCUACAGUAGGCCAUUUAAUAAAAAAGAAAAAUCAUCAGCUCUGAUGGGCUGGUGGAAAAAAAAAUCAGGCUUUCCAAAGCAGUAAGAGCAGCAUGCAACUGCAACAGCAAUUGCUACCACAGCAGGAAAAAAAACACCACAAUUUUGCCAGGCAAAUACUGACCUAUUCUGAUUUCAAAUAAAGGUUCAUAAGACGCUUC